UCCCAAACGAAUUAGUGGGGUCUGCUUUGCCGAUCCUUGACGUGAUAAGAUGUUUCUACGUCUCGGGUUUGGCACUGUAUCCGCUUCUAACCGUCUCAUUGACAACGAUGGCGUUCCGGUCACCACCGUUUCAUCGGUGGUGGCUUGACCCACCAAAAAACCUUGACCUCAAAUCGGGUGAGACUACCCGCUGAACUUAA
rnacentral:misc_RNA from 1 species